AAAACUUCCCGCCAAAGUGUUUCAAAUAGCACUUUGUCUUCAAACGAACAAGAUGGACACAAUUUACAGAAGCAAAAGAUUUACGAUGUAAACUUUGAAACUGUUCGUGAAGCCACAAAAACCCAAGGUAAAUAUUCACCCCUUGAUAUGCUUCCAGGUUAUUUUCAUUAUAUGGAUCAUUCAGAACACCGCUUUUAAAAUCUUUUCUCAAAAAUUUUGGAUAUGAAAACAGAAGACCAUCUGAAGAAAUUUGAGAAGCUGGCUCGUGUUCAUUUAUCGUUCGAAAUAUGCAUGAAAUAUUUGCCACUGGACGUUAAGCAACCAACAAUAAACUAGACUGGGUUGAUGCAGUCAUGAUUUGUCAACUUUGCAAUAGCAAAUAUAUUGAUGUUUGUAAAAGUCACACCAACUGAAAAGGAAUAUUCAUUAAUAUAGAUAGCAUAUGUUUUGCUCAACUAUCGAUAGCAAAGUUUUGAAAAUUCUUAUUUUAUUUUUUUCGUAUUUUACUGAUAAAUGGACUUAUAUUUUUUUACAGUUAACAUGAAGAUGCAGCCUGGGGUUGAAGUGUAUAUAUGAUUAAGCUAUAUUUCAAAAGGUAGAAGAACUUGAUUCUUCAUAUCUGUCCUUGGUCCACUUUUUAGUUUAUCAGUUUUCGUGGUCAAACUUAAAAAUUUGAAUGCAGGUUCUUUGAGCCUCAUGCUUCAGAUUUUACUGUUCUUUAACAAGUUAAAAAGAAUUCCCUUGAGGGCAAUUCUUUGUUAUCUGAGCAAAAUUCAGUUACAUAUUUUUUUGCAAUACUUUUGUCAGGUGAAAAUAUUUGGCUACACGGCUGGUUACUCAAGUGUGAAGUGAGUAGAUUUGAGUGUAUAAAUUAUCAUGUGAUCAACAGGUUUGAAUUGGGCUUCAUUUUUAGUUUAAAUUGAUCUUUACUUGGACAAACCCCUGUGUUUUUCCUUAAAAAUUUUUGGGGACAUCAAAUGAGUUCAAAGUUAUAGAAGAUUUAAGGUAUCAUUUAUUUAUCAUAAAUUUCUUUAAUGUGAUCUGUUUUGUUUGAUUUACUACUAGAGAUGUAAAACAUCUUCUUAAUGUCUGUGCAUGUCUAUAUAUACAAGCUUUACUUGAGUUACAGCAUAGAGCUUUUACUUUAACCAUUUAAGAUUCAUGAUUGAUUGUUGGUUGCAUAAUGUCCAGUGGCAAAUAUAACAAGAAGAAUAGAGCUCACAUUCAUGUAUCUGUCUAGGGAACAAUUAACAGUUUAACCAAUCAAAUUUGGGUAAAGUUUUUGAACUGGUUGGCAAAACUUACUGAAAACGUCUAUGUUGAAAACCUUGUAUUGUAGGGUCAAUAGACUCAAAAAUAUUGAGUCUAUGGGAGCAACAUUGCUAAAUCAAAAAAUUUCCCAACAAAACUUUAGGGAAGGUAUGGGUACAGUAAACACACAUACUUUUUUGUUUGCAACAUAUUUUCUGGAAUAAUUUUAAUAUUAAAUGUUUCUUUUCAGUACUUUGACACUACAAACUUAGUCAUCUAAAAUCUAAAUUGGUAUUCAGAUGCAUCUAGGAAAGCAAGACAGUAUAUCAACUUCAUUUCACAAACAUGUUGAUUUUCCCUUGAUACAGUAGACCAAGUGAAUACAGGUAUAGUCAAAUAGUUUAUUACAAAACUUAAUCAAUUUUUUUUUUACCAUCCGGAUUACUAGCAGGUUUAUCUGAUAAUAUAUUGUACUAUAUGUAUAUAUUAACAAUUAGAUUGUAAGUUUCUGUGGUGAUCUAAACUAAAUAUACCUAAAAAAAAAAUUCAUAAAUGUUUGAGACCGAAAGCUUCUGGAUUAGUUUUUUGAUGAUGAAUUUCUCCAAAAAUUCUUUUUUGAUAAACUUUUCUCAGAUUUGACUAUUAUUAUGAUUUGGACAUUAAAGUAUAACAGCGGUAUUCAUCUUUGAUAGACCUAGUGCUACAGUUUAAUAGGUAAACAAAGAAUAUGCACACAGGAAUAUCCAUCCAGAACACAAAAUCAGUACAUAGACAGCAUAAAUAAACGAACAAAAGAAAGGAACAGUGCUUUUAUUGCUGUUCUUCAUCUCAUACAUAAUCAAUUUGCACAAAAUUUAUCAUUUUCACUCAAAAGUUUGAAUAAGUUUUAAAAAAAAAUUAAAUGUAUGAUGAAAAUAUACUUUUUGUUGCUAUUGAUAUACAAGUCAUUUAUACAGACAUACAUUUUAUCAAUGAAAUUUAUCAUUAUAAGUUAUAAUAAGGUAAUAUAAGUUAAGUACUCUUUUUUAGCUCACCUGGCCUGAAGGGCCAAGUGAGCUUUUCUCAUCACUUGGCGUCCGUCGUUGUCGUCUGUAGUCUGUCGUCGUUAACUCUUACAAAAAAUCUUCUCCUCUGAAAAAUACUGGGCCAAAUUAAACCAAACUUGACCACAAUCAUCAUUGGGGUAUCUAGUUUUAAAAAUGUGUCCGGUGACCCGGCCAACCAACCAAGAUUUAUAAAGAAUGAUAAAUAAUAUAGAGUUUUAAGUUCCAUUCUUUCAUAUUUAUUAAAAAGAAAUGAUGUUUUAGAGGAGCCAACAACUGAGCAGAGAGCAGAAGAGAGAUUGAUGACCUUGAAGAGUAAGCAAUGUGAACAGUAAGACAGCUGUUAAGUAUAUCUGGGGUUACCAAAUAUUAUGGUAAGAACCUCAUCUAUAAUCAAACUUGGUGAGUAUUCUUUUUGUUGGUUAGAUAUUAUGCAUCAUUAUGAAAAAAGGGGGAUGUAGGGUAGGGUAUAAAUCAACAAGGCAGCUACCCAAUGAAAAUAAAUAACCAAAGACAUCUACAGGUCUUCAACUAUAGACUGAUGUUUAUACAAUACAUGAACUUGUAAUAAUCAUCCAAAGUCUAAAAGAUUUGUGAAUAAAAUGAACAGACUAACAAAUAACUUACAUACACACCAAUAUCUGACCUAAGCACAUGAGCAUGUUGCAGGGUGAAACUUUUUUAUAUAAAGCCCACCCUUUUUGUGCAAUGCCUAACCAAACUACAAAAUUUCAUACAGAAAACUUUUCAAAUUGAAGGGUUUCAAAUUUUGAAUAAGCUAAUUUGUUUCUUUAAAAAAAAAAAAAAAAUGCCAGAUGCAAUUAACAAACAACAAAAUAUUUGGAAAUCUUGACUCCCCCGCAAGAGAAAAAUGUCACUCUUAUUAUUGAGGAAAAUGGCCACUACCUCAAUGGUCUUUAAAAUUAAUUCAGUUGCUCUGGUCAUUUUUCAAAAUUUAACAAGUGAAUGGAGUUGUUUUGAUGAAGCUUACCUUUAAUCAAUGGGAGAUAACUGUGACCACAUGGAUCAUAAUUCUGAAAACUUAUCCUGAAAUCCUGGGCUUAAAAACUCGAAAUCCUGAGGUCCCGAAUUUAAAUAAAUUUAAAUCUGCAUCCCGAAAUUUGAAAAAAGAAUUCCCGGAUCUUGAAAGGGUCAAUCCCGAAAUCCCGAGCUUAAAAACACCCAAUCCCGGAGUCCCGAUAAAGGUCCUAUCCCCCCUCAUAUCUAUAAUUGAUAACUAAGAUAAAAGAAAUACAGAAAUUGUUUACAUUAAAUUGCCUUUUGCCAUGCUUACAUCAACAAAAGAUUUUUUUUUUCAUUUUCCAAAAUAAAUUCCAAGGCUAAGAUGUAGGAUGCCAUUCUUCUAACAAAAUACCACAGCAUGGAGACCCAAAUCAGCACACUAAAAUGUCCAAUGUGUGUCCUACAUCUUGAAAUAAAUAUCAUUUUAUAAAUGUUCAAAUAUCUUCAAAAACAUUUAAUAUUAAUUUUUUUUACUCAUUUCUACUCUGUUGAGACUAUUUCACUAGCACUGCACUUUGACUUUGACUAAGAC
rnacentral:lncRNA from 1 species